CUGAGUACGGCGGAACACGUGAAAUUCCGUCGGAAUCCGGGAGGACCAUCUCCCAAGGCUAAAUACUCCCUAGUGACCGAUAGUGAACCAGUACCGUGAGGGAAAGGUGAAAAGCACCCCGGAAGGGGAGUGAAACAGUUCCUGAAACCGUGUGCCUACAAGUAGUUAGAGCCCGUUAAUGGGUGAUAGCGUGCCUUUUGUAGAAUGAACCGGCGAGUUACGAUUUGUUGCAAGGUUAAGCGGAAAAAGCGGAGCCGUAGCGAAAGCGAGUCUGAAUAGGGCGCAUAAGUAACAGGUCGUAGACCCGAAACCAGGUGAUCUACCCAUGUCCAGGAUGAAGGUAAGGUAAUACUUACUGGAGGUCCGAACCCACGCACGUUGAAAAGUGCGGGGAUGAGGUGUGGGUAGCGGAGAAAUUCCAAUCGAACUUGGAGAUAGCUGGUUCUCUCCGAAAUAGCUUUAGGGCUAGCCUCGAGGUAAAGAGUCAUGGAGGUAGAGCACUGUUUGGACUAGGGGCCCUUCUCGGGUUACCGAAUUCAGAUAAACUCCGAAUGCCAUGUACUUAUACUCGGGAGUCAGACUGCGAGUGAUAAGAUCCGUAGUCGAAAGGGAAACAGCCCAGACCACCAGUUAAGGUCCCCAAAUAUAUGUUAAGUGGAAAAGGAUGUGGGGUUGCUUAGACAACCAGGAUGUUGGCUUAGAAGCAGCCACCAUUGAAAGAGUGCGUAAUAGCUCACUGGUCGAGUGACCCCGCGCCGAAAAUGUACCGGGGCUAAACAUAUUACCGAAACUGUGGAUGAACCUCUUUAGAGGUUCGUGGUAGGAGAGCGUUCUAAGGGCGGUGAAGUCAGACCGGAAGGACUGGUGGAGCGCUUAGAAGUGAGAAUGCCGGUAUGAGUAGCGAAAGAAGGGUGAGAAUCCCUUCCACCGAAUAUCUAAGGUUUCCUGAGGAAGGCUCGUCCGCUCAGGGUUAGUCGGGACCUAAGCCGAGGCCGAUAGGCGUAGGCGAUGGACAACAGGUAGAGAUUCCUGUACCAGUGCUAAUUGUUUAACCGAUGGGGUGACACAGAAGGAUAGGGAAUCGCACGAAUGGAAAUGUGCGUCCAAGCAGUGAGUGUGAGAAGUAGGCAAAUCCGCUUCUCGCGAAGCAUGAGCUGUGAUGGGGAAGGAAAUUAAGUACGGAAGUUCCUGAUUUCACGCUGUCAAGAAAAGCCUCUAGGAAGAGUAGUACUGCCCGUACCGCAAACCGACACAGGUAGAUGAGGAGAGAAUCCUAAGGUGAGCGAGAGAACUCUCGUUAAGGAACUCGGCAAAAUGACCCCGUAACUUCGGGAGAAGGGGUGCUCUAUUAGGGUGCAAGCCCG
rnacentral:rRNA from 1 species